rnacentral:rRNA from 1 species
ACCUCAAGUCAUGUGAGAGUACCCGCUGAACUUAAGCAUAUCAAUAAGCGGAGGAAAAGAAACUAACAAGGAUUCCCCUAGUAACGGCGAGUGAAGCGGGAAGAGCACAAAUUUUAAAUCUACCUAGUUUCUAGGUCGAGUUGUAAUUUGAAGAAACGUUUUUUACGUUCCUGGUUGGGUUAAGUCCUUUGGGAUAAGGUAUCAUGGAGGGUGAGAAUCCCGUGUAUACCAACCACUAGAAUGUUAUUAAUACGAUUUCUAAGAGUCGAGUUGUUUGGGAAUGCAGCUCUAAAUGGGUGGUAAAUUUCACCUAAUGCUAAAUAUAGGCGAGAGACCGAUAGUGAACAAGUACCGUGAGGGAAAGAUGAAAAGAACUUUGAAAAGAGAGUUAAAUAGUACGUGAAAUUGUUGAAAGGGAAACGGUUGAAGUCAGUCAUGCCGGUAGGAAUCAAUUCAGGGGAAACUCUGAGUGCACUUCUUCAUUUGGCAGGUUAGCGUCGAUUUUGAAUUUCAUAAAAUGACUGGGGGAAGGUAGCUCCUUCGGGAGUGUUAAGCCCUUAGUAGAUGUGAUGUUCGGGAUCGAGGAUUGCAACGGAUACCCUUUGGGGCUAGCCACCUGGUCUCUAAUACGAAAUUGGGUUAUGGAUAGCAUGCUAACUAUGAUCUGAUUUUCGGUUAAAAGAUUAGAGUGAGUGUAAAUUCGUUAAGGACGCUGACGUAAUGGCUUUAAACGACCCGUCUUGAAACACGGACCA